GACGAACGCUGGCGGCGUGCUUAACACAUGCCAGUCGAACGGAAAGGCCCUGCUUUUGUGGGGUGCUCGAGUGGCGAACGGGUGAGUAACACGUGAGUAACCUGCCCUUGACUUUGGGAUAACUUCAGGAAACUGGGGCUAAUACCGGAUAGCAGCUCCUGCUGCAUGGUGGGGGUUGGAAAGUUUCGGCGGUUGGGGAUGGACUCGCGGCUUAUCAGCUUGUUGGUGGGGUAGUGGCUUACCAAGGCUUUGACGGGUAGCCGGCCUGAGAGGGUGACCGGCCACAUUGGGACUGAGAUACGGCCCAGACUCCUACGGGAGGCAGCAGUGGGGAAUAUUGCACAAUGGGCGGAAGCCUGAUGCAGCAACGCCGCGUGCGGGAUGACGGCCUUCGGGUUGUAAACCGCUUUCGCCUGUGACGAAGCGUGAGUGACGGUAAUGGGUAAAGAAGCACCGGCUAACUACGUG
rnacentral:rRNA from 1 species